GUUUCAUUGGACACCAUUGAAAACAUGCUGUUCAUCCGCACGCAUUUCAGGAUGAGUCUUUGUUAGACAAAGAACGUCAAAUGGUAUGUUAGACUGGUGCCAACAAAACGACUGUUCAAGUUCAAGAAAACUAGGAAAAACAACCAUUGAUCACGCCUCUAGUGGUGUUUGUUGAAACAGCGCGAUGUGUACAACAUCCAGAAAAUCCACAAUUAAUUGUGUAAAACACAAAGAUCGACAUCUUUAUGAAUGAAUGAAAUAACUAUUUUCUGGUUUGAGUGAACUGACAGUUUGUACCUCUAUCUGAGUCAGAUAGAGCUCAUUGAUGUUUCUCCUUUUUUUCAUUUGUUGUUGUUGUUUUAAUGUUCAUAUGUAACCCUAAAAACACACAAUGACGUGAUCAACAUAAUCAACUCAUAAUCAAGCUAGAGUCACCAUACUUCACAGCUUUAAAUCAGUUCAGUAUUGAUUCAGUUCAGUUGCAUAACUCUAAAAUCAAUCCGUUGAACAUACAUCUGUAUAUGCGUGCGUGUAAACACAGUGUAUAUGUGUAUAUAUGUGUGCAUGCUGUGACAAACUCUCCACUGCACUCUGAACAAGCAAAAGACACGAGUAAUGUUUUAACAUCUGUGUGUAAUUUUGCAGUUACUAUGCAAAAAUAUAUUUUUUAGAAGAGCUCAAAUAUUUUUGAAUUAAAACUGUGUAUGCUUUUGCAAGAUAUGUGUGACGUUUUGCAUGUUUGUGUGUGUUUUGUGUGAAGAGUUUUGAGAAAUGGAGCUAUAGAUUCAUAUUUUUUAAAUAACUGUAAAUAAUACAAGCCCAGCAGAGUCUUGUGUGAAAAUUAUGUAGUGGUUAUGUAUGUAUGUUAUGUGAUUAUGUAAUCUGGAUGCAACUGGAAAAAGAGAAUCAUUAUCACAUAUUUAUAUAAUAGUGUAAAUGUUUUGAACCUGUAUUCUAAAUGUCAUGACUCCUAAAAAUGUGUAAAAUGAAGACGUGGUAUAAAAAUGUUUUUUUUUUUCUUUCUUUCUUGAGGAUUGAAAUAAUUAUUGGUUACUGAUAUACUGACCAAAAAGUUUUAAUUAACUGUUGCCUACUUAGGAUACCUGAGCUUUCAAUGGUUUUAAUGCUUUAUUUAUAUAUUUAUAUUAUAUAUUUAUGCUAUAUUUUAUAUAAUAUAUAUAUUAUAUUUUGAACUGAGUCUACAUUAAAUUGACUCAGGCUGAAUAAUGACUCUAUUGUCUACUACAGAAUUGCUUAUAUAAACUGAACUCAUUUCAUGAUUACUGUAAAAAACUAUACACAUUAAAACUAAACUGAAAUAAUUUGAACCGAACAAUGAACUGACUUCAGUUGAAUAAUGACAAUAUAGUCUUUGUAGUGCUGCUUAAAGCAGAGAUUUGUCUCAUUGAUGAAGAUGAUGCUUUAGAUUUGUCUCAUUGAUGAAGUUUGCAUAGUUGAAUCUGUUUUCUUUCCUUUGAAGCUGUUUUGAAAGAAUCUGUAUUGUAUAUUAUUAGGUAGCUUGGCUGGAGACAUGAUUAAAUAGCUGACUCCUCGGGAGGAGACAGUCCUGGUGCUUGGUAGACACUCUGGGACGUCCUAAAGACUUCUUCACUGCAGUGGAACCUCUCUCCUUGAAGUUCUUGGUGAUCUGGUAAAUGAUUCUUUCAGGUGAGAUAUUCUUUGUAGCAAUUUCCUUGCAUGUGAGGCCAUUUUGAUCCAAAGGUUAGGGCUUCUUUUGAGGUAACUAUUGCUAACAAGAACACAAGGAUUGGAUACGCUUCUUCCCUCUUUUUAUAGCAACCAGUAUGCUCUUAAAAUCUAAUUAGUAUGAUAGUGAUUUUACUUGACUAGUACUCAAUCACACUUUCACGUGUGCUUCUGAUGUGAUUAGUCAAUUAAUGUUAACUGACAUUUUGUGUCAGGAUAAAAAAAACAAUGUUUUUUUUUUUUUUUUUUUUUUUUUUUGUGAAGAGUUAAUUUUUUGGCCAAUGAAGCUUUUAGCAAUUAUUUUAAAUGCAUCGGAUACACUCUACACAAAAAUCUAGAAACAAUGUAAAUGAACACCAACACAGAUUAAGCAGCAAACUUUAAAACAAAAUUUAUGUCACUGCCAAAACUUUUGACUGUAUGACUGUACAUGACUGUACAUGAACGAAAACUCAAACAAAUGAGCUAUGUCCACAAGGUGUCGCUCUACGCUUAAUUUAUUUCGUGCUGUCGAGACUAAAGCAACACCUGAGUUUCAGCAGUAACGGUGAAGUCUGCACACACACACACACACACACACACACACACACACACACACACACACACACACACACAGUGAAAUAUAUCUGAAAUAUUUGUCUUAGAAAUAUUUACAUUGUCAUUGAUCAAACGGCUACAGAGAACGUCUGCUUUUAUUAAACUAAAGAGUUUGACCAACAUAAAGCAUUGCAUUUGAGUGUCUUAUCGAAUUCAGAAGGUACAUAAUGCUAUUAUACAAUAAUACAAACACAUUUACCCUUUCUCUCCUUUUCAAUCUCUCAUUCACAAGCAUGUAGAAUGUAAGCCCCUGUCCAGUGACAUAGAGCUGGAUGACUCAUUGCCCAUCAAAAAAAAAAAAAA